UACGUAGGGGGCAAGCGUUGUCCGGAAUUAUUGGGCGUAAAGGGCUCGUAGGCGGUUUGUUGCGUCGGCUGUGAAAUCCCGAGGCUCAACCUCGGGUCUGCAGUCGAUACGAGCAAAUUAGAGUGUUGCAGGGGAGACUGGAAUUCCUGGUGUAGCGGUGAAAUGCGCAGAUAUCAGGAGGAACACCGGUGGCGAAGGCGGGUCUCUGGGCCGAUAUGACGCUGAGGAGCGAAAGCGUGGGGAGCGAACAGG
rnacentral:rRNA from 1 species